rnacentral:rRNA from 1 species
AUUGAACGCUGGCGGCGUGCCUAACACAUGCAAGUCGAGCGGUAACAGGUGUAGCAAUACAUGCUGACGAGCGGCGAACGGGUGAGUAAUGCUUCGGAAUCUGCCCAUGUAGUGGGGAAUAACCAGCCGAAAGGUUGGCUAAUACCGCAUACGACCUACGGGUGAAAGCAGGGGAUCGCAAGACCUUGCGCUAUUGGAUGAGCCGAAGUCGGAUUAGCNGUUGGUAGGGUAACGGCCUACCAAGGCGACGAUCCGUAGCUGGUCUGAGAGGACGACCAGCCACACUGGGACUGAGACACGGCCCAGACUCCUACGGGAGGCAGCAGUGGGGAAUAUUGGACAAUGGGGGCAACCCUGAUCCAGCGACGCCGCGUGUGUGAAGAAGGCCUGCGGGUUGUAAAGCACUUUUAGUGGGGAUGAAAAGCACAUGGCUAAUAUCCGUGUGUC